rnacentral:rRNA from 1 species
UCCGAACCGAGCGAACGUUGUUCGGAAUCACUGGGCUUAAAGGGCGCGUAGGCGGUCCGCCGCGUCCGGGGUGAAAUCCUCCCGCUCAACGGGAGAACGGCCUCGGAUACGGGCGGCCUGGAGGGGGGUAGGGGCGUGCGGAACUGUGGGUGGAGCGGUGAAAUGCGUUGAUAUCCACAGGAACUCCGGUGGCGAAGGCGGCACGCUGGACCCCACCUGACGCUGAGGCGCGAAAGCCAGGGGAGCGAACGGG